CCUACGGGAGGCAGCAGUGGGGAAUUUUGGACAAUGGGCGCAAGCCUGAUCCAGCAAUGCCGCGUGAGUGAAGAAGGCCUUCGGGUUGUAAAGCUCUUUUGUCAGGGAAGAAACGGCCGAGGCUAAUACCUUUGGCUAAUGACGGUACCUGAAGAAUAAGCACCGGCUAACUACGUGCCAGCAGCCGCGGUAAUACGUAGGGUGCAAGCGUUAAUCGGAAUUACUGGGCGUAAAGCGUGCGCAGGCGGUUUUGUAAGUCUGACGUGAAAUCCCCGGGCUCAACCUGGGAAUUGCGUUGGAGACUGCAGGGCUGGAGUCUGGCAGAGGGGGGUAGAAUUCCACGUGUAGCAGUGAAAUGCGUAGAGAUGUGGAGGAACACCGAUGGCGAAGGCAGCCCCCUGGGUCAAGACUGACGCUCAUGCACGAAAGCGUGGGGAGCAAACAGGAUUAGAUACCCUGGUAGUCCACGCCCUAAACCGAUGUCUACUAGUUGUCGGGUUCUUAAUUGACUUGGUAACGCAGCUAACGCGUGAAGUAGACCGCCUGGGGAGUACGGUCGCAAGAUUAAAACUCAAAGGAAUUGACCGGU
rnacentral:rRNA from 1 species